rnacentral:lncRNA from 1 species
GAGAGAGAGAGAGAGAGAGAGAGAGAGAGACGGAAGAGAGAGAGAGAAUGACAGCUGAUCUGCUAACAAUCAAAGGUGGCGAGGGCCUUGAUCCGGAUCCACCCGGUUCUAGAAAGGGUAUUCGAAACAAAUUGUUUCCUACGGGGCAGCCUCCUUGGCCGGUUCAAGCCGGGCAUGGGCCGGUGCCGACGCUGAGGGCAAUACUAUUGGGGGAUAAUAAUGAAGCACAAAUGUUGUCCUACUAAAGAGUGAAAAAAGACAGAAGAAGGCCCUCUCUCCUG